UACGGAGGGAGCUAGCGUUGUUCGGAAUUACUGGGCGUAAAGCGCACGUAGGCGGCUUUGUAAGUUAGAGGUGAAAGCCCGGGGCUCAACCCCGGAAUUGCCUUUAAGACUGCAUCGCUUGAAUCCGGGAGAGGUGAGUGGAAUUCCAGGUGUAGCGGUGAAAUGCGUAGAUAUCUGGAGGAACACCGGUGGCGAAGGCGGCAUCCUGGACCGACACUGACGCUGAGGCGCGAAAGCUAGGGGAGCAAACGGG
rnacentral:rRNA from 1 species